CGUCCGUAUCACGUUGAAAUACCGGUUCACGUACAAUCACCGACGUCAAGCAACGUCGAGUCUGGUCAGUACCAGAAUAAGUGACCGCUUGGGUAUACCAGAUGCUGUAAG